UUUGUCUUUUUAAAAUCUUUUAUUUGUUUCAAGCCAUAUGCAUUAGAUAUAUAACCUGUUUAUAAAUAGACAGGAAAUACAAUUUUUAAAUUACAUAAGAAAUUUCAUAUACAUUUUGUACCUUGACUGUUGUGUGCUGGCAUAGAUCAGAAGGAUUUGGGCAAUUAAUUACCUGGUGUGACACUGUGCUGGGAGAUUUGUCGCUAAUAAACAUGUACAUUUGUACAUUGUAAUAAACAAAAGGUAGUGGAUUUAAGAGGAAGUCUGAGGGAAUACUCUCUAAUUUCACUGGAGAAUUUAGGGAGGGAUAUCAGAGUUACCUGGUGUCACACCAAGAAUAAUC
rnacentral:lncRNA from 1 species